GGAGAUGUGGCUCAAGUGGUAGAGCACUUGCCUAGCAUGCGUGAGGCACUGGGUUCGAUUCUCAGCUCCA
rnacentral:tRNA from 1 species